UUCCGUAGGUGAACCUGCGGAAGGAUCAUUACUGAAUACGUA
rnacentral:rRNA from 1 species